AGUGAACGCUGGCGGUAGGCCUAACACAUGCAAGUCGAACGGCAGCACAGUAAGAGCUUGCUCUUACGGGUGGCGAGUGGCGGACGGGUGAGGAAUACAUCGGAAUCUACUUUUUCGUGGGGGAUAACGUAGGGAAACUUACGCUAAUACCGCAUACGACCUACGGGUGAAAGCAGGGGAUCUUCGGACCUUGCGCGAUUGAAUGAGCCGAUGUCGGAUUAGCUAGUUGGCGGGGUAAAGGCCCACCAAGGCGACGAUCCGUAGCUGGUCUGAGAGGAUGAUCAGCCACACUGGAACUGAGACACGGACCAGACUCCUACGGGAGGCAGCAGUGGGGAAUGUUGGACAAUGGGCGCAAGCCUGAUCCAGCCAUACCGCGUGGGUGAAGAAGGCCUUCGGGUUGUAAAGCCCUUUUGUUGGGAAAGAAAAGCAGCAGGUUAAUACCCCGCUGUUCUGACGGUACCCAAAGAAUAAGCACCGGCUAACUGCGU
rnacentral:rRNA from 1 species